UAUCCAAGCGAGCCUGUACCACGACACACAUCACCAAUCGUCUGUUAGAAUACAAGAUCAAGAUGGCUUCGUGCAAGUCGAGGGUGUUAUCAACAGCAAGCUGAGGAUAAAGCCACUACCUGACAGCGAACGGUCGUCGCGAGGUCGGGUGCUCCACAAGGUAUACGAAGUGCACGAGAGACAAGCAGGAUCUCUCAGGGAAGGUCGGCUGCUUGAAGAUCCACAAAACGAUGACCGGAAUGAUAGGCGUCGCCGCAAGUCUCAAGAGCGUGA
rnacentral:lncRNA from 1 species